GACAAUAUAGGUGGUGUUGGUCAGUUGCGAGGUGAGAUCGUGAGAAACCGAGAAAGUGAGAGUUGUCGCAUCAUGGGCAUCAUCACAUGUCGCUACACAGUGCCUUACAUCUUCGCCCGCAGCUUGAAUCCGCUUGAAAAAGUUCUUGUAAAAUUGAUGACAAUUAAUUUGUCAAUUUGUGCUUUUAGACCUUUCGAGGAAAAAAAUUGUUUUUUUUUAGAGAAUAUGAAAAUCGCCACCCCAAUAUGAACCAUCACACAUCAGACCAAAAAUUUUACGUCAAGUGGACAUACGUGAAUUAUAAGUGGAAGCCUCGUUGUUUUUGAAGUCAUAAUGUGUAAAAGUCAAAAUAUUUCAACUUUUACUUGGAAAAAAUCAAAUUCCAUGGACAGUACAGAAUAUCUCCAUUUGAAAUCUAUGCAUUUGACUUUUAUGUGGAACAUUUCCAUUGCCACUAUACAAGGUCCGUCAUGGUGAAUCGACCGGAUCCGACUGUCUGUUCUGUUCAGAAAACCGAAUUUUUUCUUGCUUUUUCUCAUGUUAAGGUUAUGUGAAAAAAUUUGAUUUCUGAUGAUAAUUCCAGAUCCGGCCAACAAGUUCAUUUGGUGGGGUGAAACGGUCAUUUUUCAAGUUUCACCGAAAAUAUGAGAAAAAAAAACUAAAAAAUUCUGUUUUCUGACCGGAAGGCCGGAUCCGGCCAACGGUGGUAUGAGUCGAUCAGGUAUCUGGAAGAUUACAUUUGGCCCAAAUUUGAGCUCCGGAAGUUGAUACAUGGGAGAGAUGGUUAUUUGUAGUUUUUUCCUGUUUUCUGACAAGGGGACCUCCUGAGGUGUCCUCAUCCGAUUUCAGCUGCCCAAGUUCAUUGACUAUUCUGGUGAGUUAUGUUUUUUUAAAAAAAAGUACAUACUUGAUCAGUAAAAAUGUAAGUCCUAAAACUGAUAUUAACCCCCCAAAUCGAAAUUUUGCCAUUUCCAGCCAUUCUGGAGCCUCCAGCGCUAUUUUUCAAUUUCUCCAUAAUUUUGAAUUUGCUCCAGAAGGCGUGAAUAUGAAAUUGGGCAGCUAAAAAGCGAGUUAUGUGUUAUACUCGAUCUGUUUAACAAGUUUAUCCACUUUUGAGUUGGUUUUGGGAGGGACAUACACCUCAAAGAGUGGUUUUUUGACCAUCUUUUUUUAAAUUCUUUAUUCGAGAUACAUGCGGGCAGGAUUAUUGCUGCCAUCAUAUCAUGUUAAGCAUUACAUAAUUGAAACAAAAUUAUUUGAAUAAUACUUAUUUAUCUAUAUAAUAUAAAUUUCAGCUUUAAAUAGGAUAAAAAAACAUGAUUAAAACAUAAAAAGGUUUAAGACUAUACUUAGGUACAUAAAAUCUACUCCAGGUUAUUUUAUAAAAUAAAUAAAUAAACAAAUUUUGAAUGUUUUUUAAUUUGGGGAGCUGAGAUAUUCUUCCAGGGUAUAAUAAGCCCUAGUUAUCAGCCAUUCUUUGAGGGCAUUUUGGAAUUUUUUGCAGUUGGCUGGUUUUUUACACUUCCUAAAAUCCGAUUAUAUACCUACUUUUGCAGCAGAUGAUACAGUACUACACUGCCACACUGGAGAAGUUUUGUGUGGUGGUGGGGAGUUCUAAGGUUACCUCGUGAUCUGGUACUGUAUAGAUGCCAGAUGGGUAAUUUUUGGAAAGGUUAUAACCCUAGUAUAAACCAUGACAGAUAUGUGAGAUAUGUCCAAAAUAUAUUGUGAUAUUAUAGUGAGAAUCUUUAUUAUCAACAAAGGUGGGCCUGCAUGUUUGUCUUAGAGGUAGUUUAUAAAUUGUUCUUAACCCAUGUUUUUGUAGAGUGAGAAUUUGCUUGACAUAAGAUGCAUUACCUCCCCAAAAAACUACCCCAUAGGCCAUUGUAGAGUGGAAUAGUCCAAAAUAUGCAAUUCUGAGAGUUUUUUGAUUUGUAAUUUGGCAUAGCUGAAAGAGUAAAAAGUUUAUAGAUGACAAACAACAGGUUAAUAAUGUGAUGUAUACAUCCCAUUUUAAAUUACAUUGAACAUCAGCCCCUAAGAACUUUGCGGCACUUGAGACAUUAUGAUUAGGUAUAGUUGAGAGAGUUUCUGCUACCUGGUUUGCCUCCUUGGGGGUUACAUUGAAACGCACUGUUUUUUCCAGGUUCAAGCUCAUGCAAUUUGCAUUAAACCAACAGAUUGAGUUUUUGAGAACAUGUUUUGUUUUUUUAAGCUGUGUGUCCCAGCUACAACCUUUUAAAAACAGAGUUGUAUCAUCUGCAAACUGUGUUAGAAGUAUGUCAAUGUAAGAUGACAAAUCAUUAACAUAGAGAAUAAAUAAUAGAAGUCCAAGUAUGGAACCUUAGGGGGACUCCUUUGUCUAUUAUUUUCUCUUUAGAAAAGGUGUAAGUCUCACCAUUUUGGAUUUUGACUAUUUGUACCCUAUUUUCGAGAAAGGAUUUCAGUCAACUGUGGAUUGGACCCCUUAUCCCAUAUUUUUUCAACUUUCCCAGUAGAAUUCCGUGGUUCAUGGUAUCAAAAGCUUUCGAUAAAUCACAGAAUAUUGCCAAUGAAUUUUCACCCUCUUGGCCAGCUUGGAGAAUUUUGUUCAAUAAAUUAAAUAUUACUUUAGUAGUGUUUUUUCCACGACGGAAGCCAAAUUGUGUUUCACUUAGAAUGCUGUUAGCUGAUAGGAAUCGUAUCAGUCGAUUAUACAACAGACGCUCAAAAAUCUUUGAGAAUACUGGUGUUACAGAGAUGGGCCUAUAGUUGUUUAAAUUUGAUUUUUCUCCUUUCUUAUGUACCGGGCUUACAAUACUUGAUUUCAAGCUGUCUGGAAAUUUUCCCUGAUCUAUGGAGUCAUUAAAAAGUUCAGCAAGUAUAUGAGAUAUGUAGCGAUCAGCUUGUUUGAUAAGGCCUACAUCUAAACCAUAACUAUCCCUGGAGUUGGAAUUUUUGAGACCUUGUAUGACAUUAGAGACUUCAGCUGCAGUAGCUGGUGACACAAACAUUGAGGAAUCAUUAGUUGGAAUAAGGGAUAAUGGGUCCAAUGUUUGAGAAGAAUUAACUACGUUAUUUGCAACAGUUGCAAAAUGUUGGCUGAAUAACCUGGCCAUAUCAGCUGAGUUGGUAAAUUUGGUGUCUUGGAAUGUAAUAUGAUCAAUGGUUUGUUUGCAUGGUUGAUAUGAGUUUAUUAUCUUCCAUGUAGUUUUGCAAAUAUUAUUUGAUACUACAACUUUGUGAGAGUUUGAUUCUACAUAUAUUUGCCCAAUUGAUCAAUUUUUUAUAUUCCUUUUGAAGGAGCUUGUAUUCUAUUUUAUCAUCUUCAGACCCACCAAAUUUCCAAUUUGAGUAAGAUUCCAACAGUCUAGUUUUUAGGGUGCGUAUUUGGGUUUGAAUACUAUGAGGAUAAUGUAAGUGGUUAGGGUUAUGAUUUGUGUAAGUUUGAAGUGGGAAAGAUAAGUUGUAGUGGUUCAAAAAAAUAUUUAAAAAAUUAGAAAAUCUUGAAUUAAUAUCACCUAUUUUCAGUACAUCCCAAUUUUCAGAUUCCAGAGAGUGGAAAAAAUUAUCAAAAUUUGUUUUAGAGAAUAUGCGUUUUUUUAAAGGAGGUUGUUUUGCUAUAUUCACAGAUUUUUUGACCAGUUUCAAGGGUAGGAAUACACUAUUGUGGUCUUGGUCAUCAAAAAAAAUUAGGAACAAAAGUAAGUCGAAAACAAAAGCAAAAAUUUAUCUUUGAACACAACUGUCCUAUUAUGGUCAAAUAAUUUAUAAAAAAAAAAUAUAUGUUUAGAAUGUGCUGGUCAAGUUUCCUGUGCAUAAGGUUAUGUAGAGCUACAUAUGUAGUUAUUAAUGGAUAGAAGUGAUAGAACCUUUUGACUCUAUGUAUGAAUUUAAAUCUCUCGAUGUUGGGAAGUAUAUUUUUGUCCACGCCUGUCUUUGGUCAUAUGUAUUCACCACCUUCCUGUUUCUGGCAUAUCUCCGUAUGUAGAUAUCCCAUUGCAUGUUCCCUCCAGAAGAAUACACAUACAUCUUCUGUCAUUUUGAGGUAUAUUUUUUGAUAUUCUAUGUGGCGGGAAAGGGUUACUUCCUUGUCACCUUUUUGACGUGGUUUUACUAUUGGGAAUAGUAAUAUUACAUACUCCACUUGGAAUUUGUUGAGAAGUAGGUUGAUAAUCUUUUUGAGUUCUUUCUCUAUGAUUUCAUAUGGUUUUUUCGAGAAAUUAAGUUUGAGUUGUCCGGCAGAUACAAUCAAUAUACAUAUUUACCUUUCGGUUCAAACUUCUCAUCUUUAAGGCUGUCAUAGAUAUCUGAGAGGCUCACUUGAUCUCUCAAAUAUGGAGGGAGACUAUUAUUGCUACCCACUUCCCCUCGUUUGAGGAAAUCGACACUAUACUGUCUCCUAUCGCAAUAUGUUCUUUGAACAAUUUACACAUUGGGGCAUCUAAGUUUCUAGAAGCUGCCCCUCUGGCCCCUAGUUUUUGGAGUUUAACUACUCAAAGAAUCCAUCUUUGCCUGAAGCUGCAUUUCUUAUUUCAUCCAUAGCAGGUGUAGGAUCAAUACUGAGAGUUAACAUUAGGGCAUGCAUCAAAUAAUUACCAACUACUCCCAACUCUGGUUACUUUGUAUGGUAUGGUUAACUAAUGUGGUGCUGAGGCAGCGUUUUCAAAAUUCAAAAUUUUUUUGUUUCCUUUCCAAAAUGAGGUACCAAAAUUUUGACAAGUGUGCGUGUAUUGUGAGGAUGAUUGAGUGCCAAAAGAGGUGACAAAACCCCAGUGACCUCCAAUGGUGAGGUCUAGGGGGGGGGGGUCAAAAUUUUCAAAAUGUUCAAAUUUCAUCAACAAAAUGAGUUAGCGGCGAAAUCACACUUGGCACUCAUACUUAUCGACAUGUGGAUGUCAAAUUUGGUGGAUAGCCCCCCCGGGCCAUUCAUAUGGUGAGGUGCCGGGGGGAUUCAAAAUUUUUAAAAUUUGUUCCAAAAUGAGGUAUCGCCAAACUGACAAUUGUAGCUGAUAGUACAUCACUGACCAACUUCAAACUUGCCCUCAAACCCCCAGUGACCCCAAAAAGGGCACUGUGGGAGCCCAUCCACACUUUUUUGGAAUUUUCAAAAUUGAGGUACAGAAAACGAACUUUACAUUUGGGUUCUGGUUGUGGGCCAAAGGUGAUUGACCAUCUCAAAACCCCAGUGAUGCCCAUAGGGGAGUUGCUGGGGCGUUUUCAAAAUUCAAAAUUUUUCCAUCUCUUUUUUGAAAUGAGGUACCAAAAUUUUGACAAGUGUGCGUGAUUUGUGAGGAUGAUUGAGUGCCAAAAUAGGUUACAAAACCCUAGUGACACACAAUGGGGAGGUGUAGGAGGGGUUUCAAAAUUUUCAAAAUUUUCAAAUUUCAUCAACAAAAUGAGUUAGCGGCGAAAUCACACUCGGCACUCAUACUUAUCGACAUGUGGAUGUCAAAUUUGGUGGAUAGCCCCCGGUGCAUUCAGAUGGGGAGGUGCGGGGGGGAUUCAAAAUUUUUAAAAUUUUUUCCAAAAUGAGGUACCGCCAAACUGACAAUUGUAGCUGAUAGUGCAUCACUGGCCAACUUCAAAAUUGCCCUCAAACCCCCAGUGACCUCAAAAAGGGCACUGCGGGAGCCCAUCCACACUUUUUUGGAAGUUUCAAAAUUGAGUUACCAGCAUACAAACUUUACAUUUGGGUUCUGCAUGUUGGCCAAUGGCCAGGGCUGGAAAACUGAAACUGAAACUGAAACUGAAAACUGAAAUUAACUGGAACUAAAAUGAAAAAACUGAAACUGGAACUGGAACUGGAACUAAAAAAGUGAAAACUAAAAACUGAAAACUGAAACUGGAACUAAUUGGAAUUUCAGUUUUUUUUUUCAGUUUUCAAUUCAACUUUUUUAUUGAAGAGCUUUAUUCCAAAGUGAUUUUUGUUGCUAAAAUUUGUUCUGUUUUGAAAGGUCGGUGCACCUUUUCUUUCUUUGGACAUAGAACAAUUGCUUGUAGAAAAAAUCACUUUGAAAAAUUGAUGACUUACCUCACUUUUGAAGUAAAAAUUUCUGUAAAAUGUGCUUUUUUUGCAAAUGACUUAACCCACUUUGGAAUAGAGCUCUUCAAUUGCAAUCGCUCGAUGUAAUAAAUUAAUCUUAAUCAUUUUCUUCUCUCUAGAGUGUCUCUUGAGAAUUUUUUCAUUUUUGUAAUAAAACUUUGAAAAGAAAAAGAUAUUACUAAUUACUUCUGGGAUCGCGGAGCGGAGCGGAGGUGGAGGCCCGGAGGCCCCCGGAGGGUACCCUUUUUUUGCCUUGCUCCGGGAGCAGGAGCCGGAGCAAGAGGUACUUGAAAUUUUUCUACUGGAGCCGGAGGUGGAGGCGGAGGCACUUACAAAAAAAACCGGAGCUGGAGCUGGAGCCGGGGGUAUUUUUUUCAAAUAGCCAGAGGGGAAGGCUCAAAACCCCCCCUCCUUGACCUCCGGAGGCAGAGCUGGAGGGGAGAACCCCCCGGAGGGUACCCUUUUUUGGGCCUUGCUCCGGGAGCCGGAGCUGGAGCAAGAGCAAGAGGUACUUGAAAUUUUUCAAGUGGAGCCAGAGGUGGAGGUGGAGGUACUCAUGAAAAAUGUCCGGAGCUGGAGCCGGAGCCGGAGGUAUUUUUUUUUUAAAUUUGGGAGCCGGAGCUGGAGGUGUAGGCAGCGAGGCACUGGACUGGACCCCCCCCCUCCGCGAUCCCUAAAUUACUUUUUGUCUUUUCAUUUCUAAUUUUCUAUUGAAUUAUUAAUGAUAUAUGUAAUAAGAUAUUCACUUCUUAUGAAUGAUCUUAUGACUAUGAGAGUUAUUUUGUGAAUUGCAGCUGUAAAACAGUAAAACUCUGUAAAUAACUCAAUAAAAAAAAAAAAAAAAAAAAAAA